AACGCAUCUUGCGCUUGCUGGUAUUCCGGCAAGCAUGCCUGUUUGAGUGUCAUGAAAAUUAUCAACCAUGACUUGGGUUUAGGCCCUCGUUCUUGGCUUGGAUUUGGGUGCUUGCGGUCUUGCGCUGCUCACCUUAAAAGGAUUAGCUGGACAUGUCGUGAGACUUGGUUCUACUUGGCGUAAUAAGUAUUUCGCUGAGGACAUCCCUUCUGGGGUGGCCAGGACUCUGACAAACGUCUGCUUUCUAACUCGACUGUCCUCGGACAUCACUUUUUUAUGAUCUGGCCUCAAAUCAGGUAGGACUACCCGCUGAACUUAA
rnacentral:misc_RNA from 1 species